rnacentral:misc_RNA from 1 species
GAUGAAGAACUCAGCGAAAUGCGAUAAGUAAUGUGAAUUGCAGAAUUCAGUGAAUCAUCGAAUCUUUGAACGCACAUUGCGCCCUCUGGUAUUCCGGAGGGCAUGCCUGUCCGAGCGUCAUUGCUGCCCUCAAGCACGGCUUGUGUGUUGGGCUCCGUCCCCCGAUCCCGGGGGACGGGCCCGAAAGGCAGCGGCGGCACCGCGUCCGGUCCUCGAGCGUAUGGGGCUUUGUCACCCGCUCUGUAGGCCCGGCCGGCGCUUGCCGAUCAACCAAAUUUUUAUCCAGGUUGACCUCGGAUCAGGUAGGGAUACCCGCUGAACUUAAGCAUAUCAUAAGCGGAGGA